GAUGAACGCUGGCGGCGUGCCUAAUACAUGCAAGUCGAGCGAACAGAUGAGGAGCUUGCUCCGCUGACGUUAGCGGCGGACGGGUGAGUAACACGUGGAUAACCUACCUAUAAGACGGGGAUAACUUCGGGAAACCGGAGCUAAUACGGGAUAAGAUAUUGAACCGCAGGGUGCAUUAGUGAAAGACGGUUUUGCGGGAACUUAUAGAGGGAUCCGCGCGGCUUUGGCUAGUUGGGAAGGUAACGGCUUACCAAGGGAACGAGGCGUGGCCGAGCUACGAGGGUGAUCGGCGACCCUGGAACUGGGACACGGUCCAGACUCCUACGGGAGGCCGCAGUAGGGAACCUUCCGCAAUGGGCGAAAGCCUGACGGAGCAACGCGGCGUGAGUGAUGAAGGUCUUCGGAUCGUAAAACUCUGUUAUUAGGGAAGAACAAAUGUGUAAGUAACUAUGCACGUCUUGACGGUACCUAAUCAGAAAGCCCCGGCUAACUACGUG
rnacentral:rRNA from 1 species